rnacentral:lncRNA from 1 species
ACGGAAGCCGAGACUGCGCUUCGUGCGAGGCCCGGGCACCAGCGGCGGCGUGGUCAGAGCGAGCCUCGCAGAAGCUGCGGUGGUUUCCGUGUGUUGGUGGAGGAACAGGCAGGUGUUGGUGGAGGAACAGGCAGAUCUCGGCGGACAACCAAGUCCCUGCAUAUCUCCUCUGGACACCACAGGUUAAACCUUCCAAGAGAUAGCAACAAUUGUCAAAACCUCUUCACCUUGAUAGCAAGGAAGGAGGAAGGACCCUGAAGACCUUUGAUGCCCCCUUUUCAGCAGCAGAAAUGAGAAGAUGAGAAUAUAAGUGCUUUAGAGUCAUGAAAUGUUGCCAAUGGGUGAAAAAAGAAAACGAAAAAUAAUUUUGUAACCGUUAAGCAUGAUGAAAAUGUAAAUGUCAGCUUUUACCAGCAAAAUCAGGUAGUAAGUCAUUUUACAAGAUGACAGUGAAAGAGUAUACAAAUGAAGAUGUAGUGCCAGAGAAUAUUUUUGAGGAGGGAACACAUAAGCAAUCAAGUGCAGGAUCUGGCCAGCUGUUCCAGAUGCUGACACAGGAACAAGCUACAUGUGGGACCACGGCCAGACCAGAAAUGUCACCUUGAGAGGAAUGUGGUGGUGCCCAGGUGAGGAUGUCCGUGGCACUGAAGCCCCAGAGAAGGGUAACCCAGAGAAGAGAGCCAAAGUGGAAUGUGGGGUCUACAUUCUACAACACCAGGGACAGAGCAACUAUGGAUGAAGAGGGCUACAUCUGGUUCCUGGGGAGGAGUCAUGACACUAUCAAUGCCUCUGGGUAGGUGUGGCUGACGCCAGGCUGGCUGUUGUUGUCCUCACAUGCCUUAUGGGAUCUUGCUUGCCCAGACAGUCUUUCAUGCAUUGGUAACAGGACCCUCAGCCCAAUUUGAAUACAGCCAUGUCUACAGUGCCCUGAUCCCAAGUUUUGGUGCACCUCCCUAACCCCUGCAUACAGAAGACUCAAUAAAAAUGAAAUUCAAGAGGGUCUUAAAGACAUAAUAAGACACUGUGCAAUUUAGAGAAGGGGGAAUGAGAUUGAGAAGGGAGACUCUGUCUUGGUCCCCAUAGGUUUGGGGAGCUUAUUUCAUGUUUGUGCUCCUCUAAUACAGCACAAGAUGUCACAGAACAAACAUACUAAUAAUAAUAACUAACCUUUAGCUAUUGUUUAUUUUUUAUUAUUAUGAAUAUAUUUAUUAUAAAUCUAUGAAUACAAUAAAUCUAUUAAGAUAGAUUAUCAUAAAUCUAUUAUUAUAAUUAUUUAGCUAACCUGGAGUACUAUGUGAAAACACUGUUCUUAAUUCUUUGUAUAACUCACCUCUCAAUGCUGGAAGGGAGAUGCGAUUAUUACCCCUAUUUUACUGAUGAGGAAACUGGGUGACUGACCAGUGAAGAAAUUUGCCUGAAGUCUCAAAGAUAGCACAGGGUGCAAUCCAGAUAUGAACUGAGGCAGGCUGGCUCUGAGCCUCUGUCCCUAACCCCUACAUGAUUUUUUAAAAGAUACAUUACACUACAGUAACAAUUUCUCUUGGAUAUUUUAGAGAAAUGGAUGUGAUUUUUUUUUAAUUUCUAAAACAUGAUGUACUGGAAAUUUGCAGAGAGUAGAUUUUAAAUGCUCUUACCACAAAAGAAAAAAAGAGGUAAUUAUGUGAGAUAAUGGAUAUACUGGUGCCUGAGUGUAGUAAUCGUGUUACUAUGUAUAUAUACAUCAAAACAUCAUGUUUUAUGCCUUGAAUAUAUAUAAUAAAAGCCAAAAAUCAUGCUGAUACAAUGGGAAAUAGUGUGCAGAAUUUGCACAAAUGUUUAAGACCAAGUUUGAGGUUUCCAAGAGAUUUUGUGUCUGGCGAAGCUGCAUGGCCCAAGGGCCCAGGGAACUAAGCAUUCGCCCUUCUUUGUUAAUAAAGGCAGUGAGGCGAGAA